GUGACCUUACUUCCUUUCCGCUCUCUAUGUGGUAUUAGGAAACAGUGAAAAGACGGCCAUCUGCAAACCAAGAAGAGGGUUCCUGACCGACACCAGAUCUGCCAGUCCCUGAGUCUUGGACGUGUGAGCCUCCAGAAUUGUGAGAAGGCUACAGAAGAUCUGGGAGAGGACCGAUCCAAGAACAGGAGCCCA
rnacentral:lncRNA from 1 species